GGUCAAGUGAAGAAGCGCAUACGGUGGAUGCCUUGGCAGUCAGAGGCGAUGAAAGACGUGGUAGCCUGCGAAAAGCUUCGGGGAGUCGGCAAACAGACUGUGAUCCGGAGAUAUCUGAAUGGGGGAACCCAGCCAUCAUAAGAUGGUUAUCUUGUACUGAAUACAUAGGUGCAAGAGGCGAACCAGGGGAACUGAAACAUCUAAGUACCCUGAGGAAAAGAAAUCAACCGAGAUUCCCUUAGUAGUGGCGAGCGAACGGGGACCAGCCCUUAAGUUGUAUUGAGAUUAGCGGAACGUUCUGGAAAGGACGGCCAUAGUGGGUGAUAGCCCUGUACGCGAAAAUCCCUUUGCAAUGAAAUCGAGUAGGACGGGGCACGAGAAACCUUGUCUGAAUAUGGGGGGACCAUCCUCCAAGGCUAAAUACUACUGACUGACCGAUAGUGAACCAGUACCGUGAGGGAAAGGCGAAAAGAACCGCGGAGAGCGGAGUGAAAUAGAUCCUGAAACCGUAUGCGUACAAGCAGUGGGAGCCCACUUGUUGGGUGACUGCGUACCUUUGUAUAAUGGGUCAGCGACUUAUUUUCAGUGGCGAGCUUAACCGAAUAGGGGAGGCGUAGCGAAAGCGAGUCUUAAUAGGGCGUCUAGUCGCUGGGAAUAGACCCGAAACCGGGCGAUCUAUCCAUGGGCAGGUUGAAGGUUGGGUAACACUAACUGGAGGACCGAACCGACUACCGUUGAAAAGUUAGCGGAUGACCUGUGGAUCGGAGUGAAAGGCUAAUCAAGCUCGGAGAUAGCUGGUUCUCCUCGAAAGCUAUUUAGGUAGCGCCUCAUGUAUCACUGUAGGGGUAGAGCACUGUUUCGGCUAGGGGUCAUCCCGACUUACCAAACCGAUGCAAACUCCGAAUACCUACAAGUGCCGAGCAUGGGAGACACACGGCGGGUGCUAACGUCCGUCGUGAAAGGGAAACAACCCAGACCGUCAGCUAAGGUCCCAAAGUCAUGGUUAAGUGGGAAACGAUGUGGGAAGGCUUAGACAGCUAGGAGGUUGGCUUAGAAGCAGCCACCCUUUAAAGAAAGCGUAAUAGCUCACUAGUCGAGUCGGCCUGCGCGGAAGAUGUAACGGGGCUCAAACCAUGCACCGAAGCUACGGGUAUCAUCUUAGGAUGAUGCGGUAGAGGAGCGUUCUGUAAGCCUGUGAAGGUGAGUUGAGAAGCUUGCUGGAGGUAUCAGAAGUGCGAAUGCUGACAUGAGUAACGACAAUGGGUGUGAAAAACACCCACGCCGAAAGACCAAGGUUUCCUGCGCAACGUUAAUCGACGCAGGGUUAGUCGGUCCCUAAGGCGAGGCUGAAAAGCGUAGUCGAUGGAAAACAGGUUAAUAUUCCUGUACUUCUGGUUAUUGCGAUGGAGGGACGGAGAAGGCUAGGCCAGCCUGGCGUUGGUUGUCCAGGUUUAAGGUGGUAGGCUGAGAUCUUAGGUAAAUCCGGGAUCUUAAGGCCGAGAGCUGAUGACGAGUGUUCUUUUAGAACACGAAGUGGUUGAUGCCAUGCUUCCAAGAAAAGCUUCUAAGCUUCAGGUAACCAGGAACCGUACCCCAAACCGACACAGGUGGUUGGGUAGAGAAUACCAAGGCGCUUGAGAGAACUCGGGUGAAGGAACUAGGCAAAAUGGCACCGUAACUUCGGGAGAAGGUGCGCCGGUGGAGGUGAAGCAUUUACUGCGUAAGCCCCUGCCGGUCGAAGAUACCAGGCCGCUGCGACUGUUUAUUAAAAACACAGCACUCUGCAAACACGAAAGUGGACGUAUAGGGUGUGACGCCUGCCCGGUGCCGGAAGGUUAAUUGAUGGGGUUAGCGCAAGCGAAGCUCUUGAUCGAAGCCCCGGUAAACGGCGGCCGUAACUAUAACGGUCCUAAGGUAGCGAAAUUCCUUGUCGGGUAAGUUCCGACCUGCACGAAUGGCGUAACGAUGGCGGCGCUGUCUCCACCCGAGACUCAGUGAAAUUGAAAUCGCUGUGAAGAUGCAGUGUAUCCGCGGCUAGACGGAAAGACCCCGUGAACCUUUACUAUAGCUUUGCACUGGACUUUGAAUUUGCUUGUGUAGGAUAGGUGGGAGGCUUUGAAGCGUGGACGCCAGUCUGCGUGGAGCCAACCUUGAAAUACCACCCUGGCAACUUUGAGGUUCUAACUCAGGUCCGUUAUCCGGAUCGAGGACAGUGUAUGGUGGGUAGUUUGACUGGGGCGGUCUCCUCCUAAAGAGUAACGGAGGAGUACGAAGGUGCGCUCAGACCGGUCGGAAAUCGGUCGUAGAGUAUAAAGGCAAAAGCGCGCUUGACUGCGAGACAGACACGUCGAGCAGGUACGAAAGUAGGUCUUAGUGAUCCGGUGGUUCUGUAUGGAAGGGCCAUCGCUCAACGGAUAAAAGGUACUCCGGGGAUAACAGGCUGAUACCGCCCAAGAGUUCAUAUCGACGGCGGUGUUUGGCACCUCGAUGUCGGCUCAUCACAUCCUGGGGCUGAAGCCGGUCCCAAGGGUAUGGCUGUUCGCCAUUUAAAGUGGUACGCGAGCUGGGUUUAGAACGUCGUGAGACAGUUCGGUCCCUAUCUGCCGUGGACGUUUGAGAUUUGAGAGGGGCUGCUCCUAGUACGAGAGGACCGGAGUGGACGAACCUCUGGUGUUCCGGUUGUCACGCCAGUGGCAUUGCCGGGUAGCUAUGUUCGGAAAAGAUAACCGCUGAAAGCAUCUAAGCGGGAAACUUGCCUCAAGAUGAGAUCUCACUGGAACCUUGAGUUCCCUAAAGGGCCGUCGAAGACUACGACGUUGAUAGGUUGGGUGUGUAAGCGCUGUGAGGCGUUGAGCUAACCAAUACUAAUUGCCCGUGAGGCUUGACCAU
rnacentral:rRNA from 1 species